CUACAGAGGGUGCGAGCGUUAAUCGGAUUUACUGGGCGUAAAGCGUGCAUAGGCGGCCUUUUAAGUCGGAUGUGAAAUCCCUGAGCUUAACUUAGGAAUUGCAUUCGAUACUGGGAAGCUAGAGUAUGGGAGAGGAUGGUAGAAUACCAGGUGUAGCGGUGAAAUGCGUAGAGAUCUGGAGGAAUACCGAUGGCGAAGGCAGCCAUCUGGCCUAAUACUGACGCUGAGGUACGAAAGCAUGGGGAGCAAACAGGAUUAGAUACCCUGGUAGUCCAUGCCGUAAACGAUGUCUACUAGCCGUUGGGGCCUUUGAGGCUUUAGUGGCGUAGCUAACGCGAUAAGUAGACCGCCUGGGGAGUACGGUCGCAAGACUAAA
rnacentral:rRNA from 1 species